rnacentral:rRNA from 1 species
UACGGGGGGGGCAAGCGUUGUUCGGAAUUACUGGGCGUAAAGGGCUCGUAGGCGGCCAACUAAGUCAGACGUGAAAUCCCCAGGCUCAACCUGGGAACUGCGUCUGAUACUGGAUGGCUUGAGGAUGGGAGAGGGAUGUAGAAUUCCAGGUGUAGCGGUGAAAUGCGUAGAUAUCGGGAGGAACACCAAUGGCGAAGGCAGCUCGCUGGGACGGUACUGACGCUGAGGCGCGAAAGCGUGGGGAGCAAACAGG